rnacentral:lncRNA from 1 species
CAACCACUCCUUUCAAGAACUCAAAAUGCCAGUCAGUGCAGGUAAAGGAAGAUGCACAUCCGCCGGUUGCCAAUUUCUGAAAUUUUCUUGUUACUUCUACGAUACAGACAAGUGAUGCCUUCUCAACUUCGUCCAGGUUUCUUCCAAUCUCCGAACACGGUGACUCCGAAUCCUCUUGCCACUCCCUUCUCCAGGGACCUACCUAGGCAGCACUCCCAGCCCCUGCCAGCUCUGGAAGCUGCAGAGAUCCCGACAGUCGGGGAUGGGGAUUGAAUCCUCUCAUUGCAGUGCAAUUAAGCGGAACCACGACCACCGCACAGAUUGGCUGACAACACACAUUCCAUAAGACCAGCAAUCGAAUUUUGAGAAGCCUUGUCCAAUCAACAGGCUUUAUUUGGGAUUCAGUUUUUUACUUUGUUCUAUUAGGAGGAAAUAUAAUCAGCCACCAGCUUAGCCCUCCAAAAGAGGGGACAGAGAUGUUUCUCCGCUUUUGCACGCUAUAAAGUGAAUCUACAAGUAGUAGUUGGUGGAGGGAAAAUGGGCCUGCAUGGAGAAGGCGCCCACCACGAAGGCACGGCCAAGCCGGGUUGCACGCAAGAAACACACAAAAUACCAGGAACUAUGUACUGAAGAUUUGGGGGCAAAAGAGGACCACAUCUGCAACUAACUGGAGAUGGUUCAGAAGAUGAUGCACACACACUCAAGCAUAUCGAGAGAGAAAGGGGCAGAGGACACAGAAGGCCCUGAGUUUAAUGUGCAUGUUUUGGGGAAUUUGGAAGAAGAGCCCCUGAUAAUUCAUCCUUCAUUAUUCUUGCAACUUUUCUCUAAAUCUGAAAUUAUAUUAA